rnacentral:rRNA from 1 species
GGAAUAUUGGACAAUGGGUGGAAGCCUGAUCCAGCCAUCCCGCGUGUAGGAUGAAGGCCCUCGGGUUGUAAACUGCUUUUGUACGGAACGAAAAGCCUGAGGCUAAUAUCUUCGGGUCAUGACGGUACCGUAAGAAUAAGCACCGGCUAACUACGUGCCAGCAGCCGCGGUAAUACGUAGGGUGCAAGCGUUAAUCGGAAUUACUGGGCGUAAAGCGUGCGCAGGCGGUUUUGUAAGACAGUGGUGAAAUCCCCGGGCUCAACCUGGGAACUGCCAUUGUGACUGCAAGGCUGGAGUGCGGCAGAGGGGGAUGGAAUUCCGCGUGUAGCAGUGAAAUGCGUAGAUAUGCGGAGGAACACCGAUGGCGAAGGCAAUCCCCUGGGCCUGCACUGACGCUCAUGCACGAAAGCGUGGGGAGC